GGCGGCGUAGCUCAGCGGAUAGAGCGCCCUGUUAACUACGUAUCAAUGGUCAGCGCCUCAAUGGUACGGGCAGGGAGGUCGCGGGUUCAAGUCCCGCCGCCGCUCCCA
rnacentral:tRNA from 2 species